rnacentral:rRNA from 1 species
CCUACGGGUGGCAGCAGUGAGGAAUAUUGGUCAAUGGCCGAGAGGCUGAACCAGCCAAGUCGCGUGAGGGAAGACGGCCCUACGGGUUGUAAACCUCUUUUGUCGGGGAGAAAAGCGCGUCACGUGUGACUCAUUGCGCGUACCCGACGAAAAAGCAUCGGCAAACUCCGUGUCAGCAGCCGCGGUAAUACGGAGGAUGCGAGCGUUAUCCGGAUUUAUUGGGGUAAAAGGGUGCGCAGGCGGAGGUGCAAGUCAGCGGUCAAAUUGCGGGGCUCAACCCCGUACUGCCGUUGAAACUGCAGCCCUUGAGUGCGCGAGAAGUAAGCGGAAUGCGUGGUGUAGCGGUGAAAUGCAUAGAUAUCACGCAGAACUCCGGUGGCGAAGGCAGCGUACCGGAGCGCAACUGACGCUCAUGCACGAAAGCGUGGGUAUCGAACAGGAUUAGAUACCCGAGUAGUC